UUACGGCCAUAUCACGUUGAAACAUCGGUUCCCGUACGAUCACCGAAGUUAAGAAACGUCGAAUAUGGUCAGUACCGAGAUGAGUGACCGCUUGGGAAUACCAGGUGCUGUAAG